rnacentral:lncRNA from 1 species
UUUAACUGGACUAGCCUCAGCACUAGAAGAUGUCUGGAUGGAAGCAUCCUGGAUUAGAAUUGCUUUGCUGAGUCUGGCGCAAAUGCAUUGUCAAAGCAUAAUUAUUCACCUGCAACAAUGAGAAUUGAAUAAGGAAUAUUGAGUAGACAAUUUUAUUUGCAUUCAGUCUAUAGAGAAUACAGAAAGGGAACAUAAGAAUACUUUAUUCUCUUCUCUGCAUAUGGAUGGGGCUGUAUGCUGUAGUUCUACAAAAUUAUUGAAGUACAACAAGUCUAAAGAACAAGCAGGAAAGUAAAAUACAGG